AAUAACUGGUUCAACAACGUUACAGUGGCAUAUAAUUAAAUUACAUACAUCCUUACAGUUUAUAAUAUUUUUCAUAUAACCUGAAUCUGACGCGAUUUUAUCAAUACUAAUAUAUCAUACUAAUAAAUAAAUGUUAAUAUAAUAUAUGUUUGAAAUAUUUGUGUAUAUAUAUAUAUAUAAUUUAAGCACGGAAUGAUAUAUGCUUCAAAUUUUUAAGUACUUUCAUCGAUGACUUUCAUUGCGUGAUAUGUCGAAAUUAUAGGUUUAUUAUCACUCUACGUAAAUAAUUUCAUAUCAAUACACAUAUACAUACACAUACAUUUAUAUUAAAUAGAUAUAAAUGUAUGUGAUAUGAUUUGCAAUUAAUAUGUAUAUAAUAUACUUUUAUAAUACAGCAGGCAGAUAAUAGAUCUUACAGGACGAUGGAAUUUAACGCUAAUAUUUACAAGAGAUAAAAGAAGCUAACACUGUUAAUAUUUAUGUAUAUAUAUAUAUAUUAUAUAUAUCAUGUAUUUAUAAUAUAUAUUAUUUAUAUGUUAGACUGUAAUUGGUAUAUCAAGUUAUAUUCAGUAUUGUUGUAUUAUAUUAAUAUCUAUAGUUAUACGUUACCAUAUCGAAUAUAAUAAUAAUUACUCAGGGGGUCAUUCAAAUAUUAUUGGACAUUUUUAGAGGAAAGAAAAUC